CCCUCUUUUAUACAUACAUGUUUCAUAUUCUCUCUUUUGGUGUGAUCGAUUUUCUGUGGGAAUCUGAGAUUUCAAAUCUGCUUGAAUAUAAUGUUAAUAGAUAUUCUGAUUUUGUGUUAAUGGAUUGGAUUUGAACCCUCGAAGAAAGUGUCGAAUUUGAGAAUUGGGUUCCAAUACAUUGAUGGAACAGGUUUUCAGUCCCCUUUAGUAGAAUAGGUAUAAAUAUAGAGCAGAAUCUGUUCUUAAAUGUUGAACUUGGGUUUUUCAAACUACUUUUAUCAAAAUCAACAUCAUCCAAAGGCAAAAUCAAUAGUUACAUGACAAUUUUAUCUAAUUUGAUGAGUUUUGGGACCAAAUGUCUAAUGAGCAAGUAAUUGUUUCUCCAUUUUCUGAGUAACAGGUUGCUUAGCCCAAAGGAUUCUCUACUCCAAAUUCUUUCCAUUGAUCCAUUCCAGUAUGAUGCUGAUCCAGAGAGGCGUUGGGAACAUUUCACGAGUCCAUGACCUUGCAGGCUUGCACAAAAAUGGCCUACUUUACAAGUCCGCUUAACAAUGUCUAAUUCAGAGACAGAUCAAGGAACUACUUCUACGCGCGUCUAUGUCUAAAAUACUAAAAACAGAGUUAUAAAUUCUCCCAUACAUUAUGAGGAAAUAAAUAGGCAUACCAGCUGAGUUAUUCAAGACCUACGUAGGAAACAAUGUGCUUCGGCAAUCUCCAUCUCUUAAUAAGUGAAUACACGUGAUGAAUU
rnacentral:lncRNA from 1 species